CGCACAUUGCGCCCCUUGGUAUUCCGAGGGGCAUGCCUGUCCGAGCGUCAUUUUCAACCAUCUAGCACGGCUUGUUGUUGGGCUCUGCCGGUUAAAGGCAGGCCUGAAAGUCCGCGGCGGUGCCUCGUUGAACCUCCGAUGUAGCGAGCUUUCUGAGCAGCAUCGAGGCGGUGGACGGGCACGGCCUUGACGACGUACGUGGUGUACACCACUCCAGGUUGACCUCGGAUCAGGUAUGGAUACCCGCUGAACUUAA
rnacentral:misc_RNA from 1 species